UACCAGCACCCCGAGUGGUCGGGACGAUUAUUGGGCCUAAAGCAUCCGUAGCCGGCCUUACAAGUCCUCCGUUAAAUCCAGCUGCUUAACAGAUGGGCUGCGGAGGAUACUAUAAGACUAGGAGGCAGGAGAGGCAAGCGGUACUCAGUGGGUAGGGGUAAAAUCCGUUGAUCCAUUGAAGACCACCAGUGGCGAAGGCGGCUUGCCAGAAUGCGCUCGACGGUGAGGGAUGAAAGCUGGGGGAGCAA
rnacentral:rRNA from 1 species